GACCCGAAAGAUGGUGAACUCUACCUGAAUAGGGUGAAGCCAGAGGAAACUCUGGUGGAAGCUCGUAGCGAUUCUGACGUGCAAAUCGAUCGUCAAAUUUGAGUAUAGGGGCAAAAGUCUAAUUGAAUCAUCUAGUAGCUAG
rnacentral:ncRNA from 1 species